CCCAGCCUCACUCGCCUCACCUGGGAGCAGCAGACAGCAGACCAGAAGCAGGGAGAUGAGUGGAGUCCCGCAGGCCGCUGGCGGCAGCCCCGAGGGCACCAUGGCAGCCAACCUGCAUGAGGAAGUCGCCCUAAUGAGGAGAAAAGAUGAAAAGCGAAAACAGUAUUCAGCAUUGGUUUUGCAGUGGAAGUUACAGAGGAAGCGCCCACCUGCGCAGUGAGAGGGGUGGCCAAGCUCCUUCCCUAGGAUGACACUCAGCGUCCCAGCGCAAGCCCCCCCCGGAGCUCUGACCUGUGCUGCGAGCAGCGGUGCUUUACCCUCAUUUAUUUUGUGUGCCCGCCCCUUACCAAGAUGUGUCCUAAGGUAUCAGAAAAGCCUGAGAGAGUUUAUUCUUUGGGUCUGGGAACACUAACCAUUUUUUUCCAUGUGAAUUCAUGACAAUUACUUCUUCGCUUUAGGCCAUUUUGACUUACAAAAGGUUUCAUAGGAACGCUUGACUUCUGCGUGGCUGGAGACACCUGUAUAUCUGAUAAGGGAUUGUAUCCAGAUUACAGAAAUUCCUGGAAGUUUUGAGCGAGAUCUCCAGGCAGGCACUGUCCUUGAGGUGAUGAGUAAAAAAAAUGUUGGAAAAGAAAAACUGGAUCCUUGAUGGAUCUGAGUGGCUGCUUGAGUCCCAAGAGGAGGGAUGAGCCUGACUUUGAGUGCCUCCUGCUGAGAAAGCCCUCCUUGCCGGGAAAUGGAAAGGGAGCCUGGCCUUUGGUUGGUCAAGGUGAGGACAGAGGAGCAUAUUAAAUGACACCACAUGGGCGACAUCGGACUGAUAAAGUCUACAGGACAGACAAUCCAGUUUCUUCAACAAACGUGUUGCAAGGGGGGAGAAAAGAGGAGCCCAGAACUUAAAGGAGGGCCUUGUCUGCAUUUUUAUUUGAACCAACUGUAAACAAACACUAAAUAUUUAAGAAACAACUGGGGGAAUCUACACACGCACAGGCUACACAACGACACUGAGGAAUUAUUGUUAAGCUUUUUAGGUGUGAUAAUGAUGGCACGUAUUGUUUCUGGUUCUAUCUUUUCAAGAUACAUACAGGUAACAUGCUGUCUGGGACUUGCUUCAGAAUUCUCCAGUGAGGAGGUAGGGACAGGGGUCCAACUGACAUAAGACUGGCAAUGGGUAUUGGACACUGACGUUGGCUGUUAAGUUCAGGUUCAUUACAUUAUUCUUCCCUGUUUUGUGUAUGUUUUAAAUGGUCCAUAAGAAAAGGGUUUUUGUUUUGUUUUGUUUUGUUUUGUUUUUUAGUAAGUAGCUACACAAGAAUGAACAAGAUUGAUUUGUUUAUUUGAGAGGGAGAGUGGGGGGAGGGGCAGAGAGAGAAUCUUCAACCAGACACCCCACUGAGCGUGGAGCCCAAAGCGGGGGCUGAUUCCACGACCCAUGAGAUCACGACCCCAGCCGAAACCAAGAGUCGGACGCUUAACCAACUGGGCCACCCAGGCGCCCCAAGAACAAGCCAGAUAAUUUGGGGAAGAGGCUGCCCUAUCAAAUAUCAAAAUAUACUCUAGCGGCAACGUCUUUUACCAGGUGGCUCAUUACCAGGCUCAAUCCUGCAAGCAGCUGUUCCCAUUGAGAUCUGCUACAGAGCCUUGAACCUGGGUAAAAUGAUGUUGCGUGUGGUUACUGUAGCAGCAUUGUGAACGUGGCAAAGAACUAGAAAUGAUCAACGACCCCCAGAAGGGAACAGGUGCUUCCACUUCCGUGAUGGGCUAAAACACAACCAUGAACUAGGACAAGGCAACACUGCAAGCCUGGAGAGGUGGGACCAUCUCAAAGACCUGUCAGCUGAGGGGAAAAAAGAGUUCUGUAUAGUAGCACAUGGUACUAUUUUUUUUUAAGUUUUUUUUUUUUUAAGUAGGUUUCAUGUCAACGUGGGGCUUGAACUCAUAACCCCAAGAUCAAGAGUCGCACGGCCCACCUACUGAGCCAGCCACGCGCUCCACAUGCACUAUUUUUGCAAAAGAUGAGAAAGUACAGUAUGUGUACAGAUUUCCUUAUAUCCGGAUGAGGUGUCUCUGGAAGCAAAAACAGGAAACCAAAUGACAUUAGCUGCCUUCAGGGAGAUGACAGUAGUGGCUAAUAGAGACAUUCACUGCUUAGGUCAAUAUUACCUCCUUCCCCCCAGUUUAUAAUUAUAAUGCAUAUUUAAUAUGAAAAGUUAUAAAAAACAAACAUCAAUACAUUAGCAUGGAAUUAUCUGGAUAAGGGGAGCUGCAACGCACAAGGUCUUGAGAAAUCCAGCGAGAGAGAAAACUAUUUCACUGCCUUUCACAAUGUGGCUGACACAUAUCCUGUCUCAGUACAGCCGUUCAGUGGAAACUGGCAGGGCCGCCUGGGUGGUGCAGUGGGUGAAGCGUUGGAUUCUUGGUUUUGGCUCAGGUCCUGAUCUCAGGGCCCUGAUCUCGGGAUCAUGAGAUCAAGCCCUGUGUUGGGCUCCACACGUGUGGAGUCUGCUUGGGAUUGUCUCUCCCUCUGCCCCUCCCGCUCACGCCCUCUCUCUCAAGUGCAUAAAACUUUAGGGGGAAAAAAAACAAGCAAAAACUAAUCAUUUCCUUGAAAAAAAUAAAAGAAACACUUUGGCAAACACCGGAUUAACAACAAUAUCAAAUGUUUAUUAAGUACAUUGUUUGCAUGUCUCUCUGCUAAGCAUCUGACACGAAGAACCUUGUUAGCUAUUUACAUUAGUCCUCUGAGGUAGCAAGCAUGACUACCCCCGGUUCAGAGUUGACAACUAAGGCCCAGAGAGGGAGAGCCAUUUGCCCGA